CACCAAGGCGACGACGGGUAGCUGGUCUGAGAGGAUGGCCAGCCACAUUGGGACUGAGAGACGGCCCAGACUCCUACGGGAGGCAGCAGUGGGGAAUCUUGCGCAAUGGCCGAAAGGCUGACGCAGCGACGCCGCGUGUGGGAUGAAGCAUUUCGGUGUGUAAACCACUGUUGCCCGGGACGAACAUCUGGUUUCGACCAGACUGACGGUACCGGGUGAGGAAGCACCGGCUAACUCCGUGCCAGCAGCCGCGGUAAUACGGAGGGUGCGAGCGUUGUCCGGAAUCACUGGGCGUAAAGGGCGCGUAGGUGGCGCGGGCAGUCAACGGUGAAAGUUCGGGGCUCAACCCCGAAUCGGCCGUCGAUACUCCCGGGCUCGAGCACUGUAGAGGCUAAUGGAAUUCCGGGUGUAGCGGUGGAAUGCGUAGAGAUCCGGAAGAACACCGGUGGCGAAGGCGGUUAGCUGGGCAGUUGCUGACACUGAGGCGCGACAGCGUGGGGAGCAAACAGGAUUAGAUACCCUGGUAGUCCACGCCGUAAACGAUGGGUACUAGGUGUGGGGGAGCGACCCCCUGAGUGCC
rnacentral:rRNA from 1 species